ACAAUUCCAUUUUGAACUCCUGACUUAGACAAAUACACUGUGUUCGUAAGUCAGACCACACUAUCAAAUUGAGAACCUUCCCAGCACUUCAGCUGAAGGCAGAAGGAGUUUUUUGGGAACAAAGAGAAAGAAGGGUAAUUUUCUGUAACUGGAAUGGAAGCAGAGUGCUGGACUUCACUCAACAUUUUCAGCAGUACGUUUCCUGACAAAGACAACCACAAGACUACAUUUAGUUCAGCCUUCACAGCAUUUAUUUCCCACUUUACACAAAUGUCAAGAG